rnacentral:rRNA from 1 species
UACAGAGGUCUCAAGCGUUGUUCGGAUUCAUUGGGCGUAAAGGGGUGCGUAGGUGGCGCCGUAAGUCAGGUGUGAAAUUUCGGAGCUUAACUCCGAAACUGCAUUUGAUACUGCGGUGCUUGAGGACUGGGAGAGGAGACUGGAAUUUACGGUGUAGCAGUGAAAUGCGUAGAGAUCGUAAGGAAGACCAGUGGCGAAGGCGGGUCUCGUGGACAGUUCCUGACACUGAGGCACGAAGGCCAGGGGAGCAAACGGG